rnacentral:rRNA from 1 species
AUGAACGCUGGCGGCGUGCUUAAUACAUGCAAGUCGAGCGAUCGGACGAGGGAGCUUGCUCCCUCGUUACGGAGCGGCGAACGGGUGAGUAACACGUGAGCAAUCUGCCUCGGAGACGGGAAUAACGUUGGGAAACCAGCGCUAAUACCCGAUGACCCGGCAGGGGGGCAUCCCCCGGCCGGCAAACGUUCCGGCGCUCCGAGAGGAGCUCACGGCCUAUCAGCUUGUUGGCGGGGGGGUAACGGCCCACCAAGGCUUCGACGGGUAUCUGGCGUGAGAGCGCGACCAGACACACCGGGACUGAGAUACGGCCCGGACUCCUACGGGAGGCAGCAGUAGGGGAAUAUUGGACAAUGGGCGAAAGCCUGAUCCAGCGACGCCGCGUGAGGGAUGAAGGCCUUCGGGUUGUAAACCUCUGUUGUUGGGAAAGAAGCCGGGUGCAUAACCCGGUGACGGUACCCAACGAGGAAGCCCCGGCUAACUACGUGCCAGCAGCCGCGGUGAGACGUAGGGGGCGAGCGUUAUCCGGAUUCACUGGGCGUAAAGGGCGCGUAGGCGGUUACGCAAGUCGGAUGUGAAAAGUCAUGGCUCAACUGUGAUCGUGCAUCCGAAACUGCGUUGACUUGAGGUCGGUAGAGGCAAGUGGAACUAGCGGUUGUAGCGGGUGAAAUGCGCAGAUAUCGCUAGGAACGCCGGUGGCGAAGGCGACUUGCUGGGCCGUACCUGACGCUGAUGCGCGAAAGCUAGGGGAGCGAACCGGAUUAGAUACCCGGGUAGUCCUAGCCGUAAACGGUGGGUGCUAGGUGUGGGGGGCGUAUGUCCCUCUGUGCCGUAGCUAACGCAUUAAGCACCCCGCCUGGGGAGUACGACCGCAAGGUUAAAACUCAAAGGAAUUGACGGGGGGCCCGCACAAGCGGCGGAGCGCGUGGCUCAAUUCGAUGCAAAGCGCAGAACCUUACCAGGGCUUGACAUGCUGGAAGUAGAACCCCGAAAGGGGAACGACCCGUUGAAUCGGGAACCAGUACAGGUGCUGCAUGGCUGUCGUCAGCUCGUGCCGUGAGGUGUUGGGUUAAGUCCCGCAACGAGCGCAACCCACGUUUCCUGUUGCCAGCGGAUCAUGCCGGGGACUCAGGAAAGACUGCCGGCGAGAAGCCGGAGGAAGGAGUGGAUGACGUCAAGUCCUCAUGGCCCUUACGUCCUGGGCUGCACACGCGCUACAAUGGCAGGUACAAACCGCUGCAAAGCCGCAAGGCGGAGCUAAUCGGAAAAAGCCUGUCGUAGUUCGGAUCGAGGUCUGCAACUCGACCUCGUGAAGUUGGAGUCGCUAGUAAUCGCAGAUCAGCAUGCUGCGGUGAAUACGUUCCCGGGCCUUGUACACACCGCCCGUCACGUCCUGAAAGUGGGCAAUACGUGAAGCCAGUGGCCCAACCCGCAAGGGAGGGAGCUGUCGAGCGUAGGGUUCGCGAUUGGGACG